UUUCGCAAUGCCCGAAAGGGUGACGAAGCGACGCCGCGUGCGGGAAGAAGGCCUUCGGGUUGUAAACCGCUGUCGGGAGUUAAGAAAUGCAAGGGUGUUAACAGCAUCCUUGCUUGACUAAGGCUCCGGAGGAAGCCACGGCUAACUCUGUGCCGGCAGCCGCGGUAAUACAGAGGUGGCAAGCGUUGUUCGGAAUUAUUGGGCGUAAAGAGCACGUAGGCGGCUGUGUAAGUCGGUUGUGAAAGCCUUCCGCUCAACGGGAGAACGGCAUCCGAUACUGCAUGGCUUGAGUGCGGGAGGGGAGAGUGGAACUUCUGGUGGAGCGGUGAAAUGCGUAGAUAUCAGAAGGAACACCGGCGGCGAAGGCGACUCUCUGGCCCGUAACUGACGCUGAGUGUGCGAAAGCUAGGGGAGCAAACGGGAUUAGAUACCCCGGUAGUCCUAGCCGUAAACGAUGGGCACUAAGUAGAGGGGUUUUA
rnacentral:rRNA from 1 species